CCAGGAGAUGAGCGGGGGAGGGGAAGGAGCUCUGGGCAUCUGUUGGAGGCUCUUGACGCAGCACUGUCAAUGCAGACACUGAAUGUUAAUUGUCAAGUUGGAAGGAUCCAGAAGCACCUGAGAGGUGGGCUCUGGGCAUGCCCGAGGAGGACCAUCAUAAAUUGAUUGAUAUGGGAAGACUCCUCUGAACUGUGGGCAGGACCUGGUGUGGAUCCCGGACUGAAUGAAACGGAGAGAUCAAGCUAAAUGCAGCAAUGCAUCUAUUGCCUUCUGCUUCCUCGUUGUAGACAGGAUGUGACCAGCUGCUUCAGGCUCCUGCUACUGCAAUGCGAUGCCGUUGCCUGAACUAUCAAGAUGUAGAACUCUCAGCUCCUUCUCCAGCACCAUGUCUGCCUGGACAUGGCCAUGCUUCCCGCCAUGAUGAUAAUGGACUCAAUGUCUGAAACUAGAGAAGACCGUAUAGCGUAUCCACCAUACCCGACGGUCACCAGGUAGCCUGUUCUACUGGAGCCUCACAGAAAUCUUGGGCAAGAGAGUAGGAACGAUGGUGACAAUAACGGAUGCCAAGGACUGCACUAAGGAUCUCCAUGCGUGGCUGCCUGGAAGCUUCCCAAUACCGUGGGGACCUAAGGAUCAUUCUACCGUGGGUAAGCUGGAGCUCAGAGAAAUCAAUUCACCUUUUCACGGAAGAACUUAGUCCCUUCUACCCUAAUCCUUCCUUCUAGAGGUGCGGACUGAGGCUCACUCAGAGCUGGUGAGAAGCUCAGAACAAAUAAAGACUAACUGAGGUGCUA